CACUCUGGUAUCUCUUCAAAGCACAUAAAUCUUUCGCCUUUUAUGAAAGAUUUCUGUGGAGAGGUACAACCAAAGUGACAGUCCUG
rnacentral:snRNA from 1 species